GCCACUGUGGCUUAGUUGGUAGAGCACCUGAUUCGUAAUCAGGCGGUCGGGAGUUCGAAUCUCCCCAGUGGCU
rnacentral:tRNA from 1 species